GGGCAGUCCUGGAGAGGAGUAUUGGCUGUGAUUGGUAGAUGUAAAUAUAGGAGAGGUGACACAAGAGAAAAAGGUUUUUAAGUAGUGGAAACAGAGACACAGAGAUGGACGGUUACUCAGAGGAGAGACUGGAAGACAGUCACUCAGACUUGGAGUGAAGACACUUGGCUAUGGAAUUGGACCUCUGGAGGAGCUUAUGCAGGAGACCUCAAGACUGCUUUACUUUUAGACAGUCACCAUGCCAAUCAAGUAUCUAACUGGCCAGUGGACUCCUUCUACAAUCAAAACAGACACCAAAAAACAUGAAGCAUCUGUGAGGAGCAAAAGACAGCAUCAGAGAAAGAAAAAAAGUUGCAUAUGUGAGACCACGAAAGCUCUUCCUUUCCUACUCUACCACAAACUCUUGGAAGGAAUGGUCCCUGCACCCGAUUCCCAUCGUUUCUACCUCGACAAGCUCUUCCUUGUUGAUGAGAAUAAGAUUGAGUAUACAAUCUUCCUCUUUUUGUUCCUCUGCCUUUUGAAGGAUGAAAUUACCAUUAAAGCAAUUUAGGAAGCUAUUAGCUGCUCUCCUUCUGGCAAAGAUUUCCAGAGAUGUGUAGGUUAACACAGAAAGGUACACAAAUUGGAUCAACUAGAAGGGGCUAUAUAAGAAAGAAUUUUUACAUGCUAAUGUUCUCAUAGAAAAGAAUUGGAAACAAAGUAGGUACCCAUUUUAUAUAAAUAUAAUGGACUUCUUGGUAGAAAAGUGACAAAGAAAUAAAUAAUAAGACAAAUA